CAAGCCUACGGGGCGCAGCAGUGAGGAAUAUUGGUCAAUGGCCGGAAGGCUGAACCAGCCAAGUCGCGUGAGGAACGACUGCCCUAUGGGUUGUAAACCUCUUUUAUAAGGGAAGAAUAAAUGCUACGUGUAGCAUGAUGCCUGUACCUUAUGAAUAAGCAUCGGCUAACUCCGUGCCAGCAGCCGCGGUAAUACGGAGGAUGCGAGCGUUAUCCGGAUUUAUUGGGUUUAAAGGGUGCGUAGGCGGUUUUUUAAGUUAGUGGUAAAACUUCGGGGCUUCACCUUGACUUGCCAUUAAAACUGUG
rnacentral:rRNA from 1 species